GCGAUCAUAUGAAGUAAGAACAACUUCUUUAUGGGAUGGUAAGAAGUAAGAACAAAUCAAAAGACAGAAUACGGAUCAGUUAUGCUCAUGAAUUGCUAAAACAGAAGAUGUUAAUAGGUUCAUUUUGGCCGGGCAGUACAAAAAGGGACACGUGUCGAGAUUUUAUUGGACUACAUGGUACCCGAGUACUAGCCCAGGAUGC